rnacentral:tRNA from 1 species
GCAUUGGUUGUUCAAUGGUAGAAUUCUCACCUCCCGUGUGAAAGACCUGGGUUCGAUUGCCAGCCAGUGCU